AGUGAACGCUGGCGGUAGGCUUAACACAUGCAAGUCGAACGGCAGCACAGUAAGAGCUUGCUCUUACGGGUGGCGAGUGGCGGACGGGUGAGGAAUACAACGGAAUCUACUUUUUCGUGGGGGAUAACGUAGGGAAACUUACGCUAAUACCGCAUACGACCUACGGGUGAAAGCAGGGGAACUUCGGACCUUGCGCGAUUGAAUGAGCCGCUGUCGGAUUUGCUAGUUGGCGGGGUAAAGGCCCACCGAGGCGACGAUCCGUUGCUCGUCUGAGAGAAUGAUAAGCGACACUAGAAGUGAGACAGGGACCAGACUACUGCGGUAGGCCGCAGUCGGGAAUGUUGGACAGUGGGCGGAAACAUUAUACAACCAUCCCGCGUCGGUUAAGGCGGCCCUGGGGUUGUAAAGACCUUUUGUUGGGAAUGAAACGCAGCCGGUUAAUACCCCGCUGUUCUGACGGUACCCAAAAAAGAAGCACCGGCUAACUUCGUG
rnacentral:rRNA from 1 species